ACACAUGCAAGUCGAGGGGCAGCAUGGUCUAGCAAUAGACUGAUGGCGACCGGCGCACGGGUGAGUAACACGUAUCCAACCUACCGGUUAUUCUGGGAUAGCCUUUCGAAAGAAAGAUUAAUACCGGAUAGUAUAACGAGAAGGCAUCUUCUUGUUAUUAAAGAAUUUCGAUAACCGAUGGGGAUGCGUUCCAUUAGUUUGUUGGCGGGGUAACGGCCCACCAAGACAUCGAUGGAUAGGGGUUCUGAGAGGAAGGUCCCCCACAUUGGAACUGAGACACGGUCCAAACUCCUACGGGAGGCAGCAGUGAGGAAUAUUGGUCAAUGGACGAGAGUCUGAACCAGCCAAGUAGCGUGAAGGAUGACUGCCCUAUGGGUUGUAAACUUCUUUUAUAUGGGAAUAAAGUGCAGUAUGUAUACUGUUUUGUAUGUACCAUACGAAUAAGGAUCGGCUAACUCCGUGCCAGCAGCCGCGGUAAUACGGAGGAUCCGAGCGUUAUCCGGAUUUAUUGGGUUUAAAGGGAGCGUAGGCGGAAGCUUAAGUCAGUUGUGAAAGUUUGCGGCUCAACCGUAAAAUUGCAGUUGAUGCUGGGUUUCUUGAGUGCAGUAGAGGUAGGCGGAAUUCGUGGUGUAGCGGUGAAAUGCUUAGAUAUCACGAAGAACUCCGAUUGCGAAGGCAGCUUACUGGACUGUAACUGACGCUGAUGCUCGAAAGUGUGGGUAUCAAACAGGAUUAGAUACCCUGGUAGUCCACACAGUAAACGAUGAAUACUCGCUGUUUGCGAUAUAAUGCAAGCGGCCAAGCGAAAGCAUUAAGUAUUCCACCUGGGGAGUACGCCGGCA
rnacentral:rRNA from 1 species